GUACACAGAUGUGUACAACCUACUAACUUACUGGUAGUAAAUUAUUGCUUUCUCCGGGGUUCAAUAACUUAAGAACCCUUCUUUUUGGAAACCUCAGAAGUUUUGUUAUUGUCAAAUAAGUCUUUUUGAGGGGUAAUUUCCCCUCUACUGUGGAAAUGGGAGAGAGAGAGUUACCAGGAAGGCCAAGAAAAGAAAAUGAUAAGAAAAUGGGGUACAUCGCAAGAUGACGUGCCCAUCAUACAGUCAGGAUCUUCAGAAGCUGGCAACAGCCACCUUUCUGCUUGGAGAAGCCCAGAACUAUCAGCUUCCAGAAUUGAGCCCAGGAAAAAAAAAAACUGCCAUUACCUAGAUCUGAAACAGCCCCUGAUUUAAAAGACGUUAUGUCAAGAAGCAAAGGACGAUGAAAGAAGUGCCCAAGAGAAGUAUCAUUUCAAUUAAGAGAUGUUUCUGCAAAUCCUGGAGAUCACAUGAAAGCAAAAUGGGUUCGAUUCGAUCUAUGUUAAAAGGCUGGUUUCACGACGCUUACAGUCAACGUGCAACCUAAAAAAUACGCAUCAUUAACGGAGUGCAACCGAACUACAGAAACCUCUUUCUCACCAGAUAGAUCGCAGUCCUUGUUUAAAAAAAUUCCCUGAUGGUUACAUGAAAGGUGCUGUUUUAGGGGAAAAAAAUAAAAUCCUUUUCACAGGGGAAAACAAUCAUGUUGAAGGGGAUCUUUAUGUUAAAGGAGAAGAAAUUUCAUGUAUUUUUCUGCAAUUUGGGCUGUUUUGACUGUUAAUAAAAAGCCUUUUCAGUGACACUGAAAAUUAA